CCCCCAGCGGUACACCGGCUGUUUUAGCUGCUACGGCGCUCCAAGGGUCGAGGCGUCCACCCGGGAAAGGCGUCGGGAUGCGAAGCGAGCAGGAAGCCGUGGGCCGGAAGGGGGCACCGCCGGGAGAUUUAUAGCCGUGCAAUAUUCCUGCCUGACCGGUAGUGUGAACGCAGGACCGGAGGGGUUGGGGGCAAACUUUCACAUUCAUUUUGAAAAUUAGUUUAAGCAAGUUUAAGGAAGUGUUGCUUUCAUAUGAAUAUUUAUAGACAGGUGUACAUCAUUUAAGCAUGUAAAAGGUAUACUUGUUGGGCAAAUAGGCUUUAAUGGUUUGUAAUUGUCUGGAAAUAUGUAUUUUCUGUUCCCUCGACAUGGCAUAAUGUCUCACGUUUAUGCCUGUUUCUUUUUCAGUUUUCAUUAUCCUAAUUUUCUUCUACUACUGGACAUUCGAUGUUAUUUUUGUGUGAAUGUAGCUAACUGACAUGAAGAGCGAUUUGAAGGCCAUUACAUUUCAAAAUGACAUCUUUAAAUGCGCAUCUUAAUGCAAUACAAAAACAAGACAAUUCAUUUAUACCUAUUCAAAAAUGAUACAAGAAUGUAGUUUUCAUAAUGUGACGUUUAUUCCAAUCAACUACGCCAAAUGGAAAUUAUAUGUUCUUUGACAUAGACAAAUAAUUUCAUCUUCUGCACCAGUUCAGUUUUAAAAUACGGGCUGAUGUGACAUGUUGGCUAUAAGUAAUGAUGUAUGCUGUUCCAACAUUGCACAGAGAAUUAUUUCAUUACGUUCACAUCGAUUGACUAGAAAUCUAGGAAAAACAAAAAUAAAACAGCAAAAUAAAAACAACAGCAACAAAACUCCUCUCAUCCUUCAAACUACAUCUCCAGCCCUGUGGCAACCUCUAGGCGUAAUUCCUGAACCUGGAACAAAAGCAAAAAAAUUGAACGCCACACCACGUUUUUCAGUGGAUGUCUCAAAUAUCAUCUACACUACAAUGUCUUACAUAUUUUAAAGCUACUGUCCAAUUCAACUGAAGACAUGCAUCUGAGCUUCAGUGGGCGUUGGGAAAAGCAGACUUUCAUGGUA